rnacentral:rRNA from 2 species
UCCGUAGGUGAACCUGCGGAGGGAUCAUUACAGAGUUCAUGCCCUCCGGGUAGAUCUCCCACCCACUGUUAUCACUACUCUCGUUGCUUUGGCGGGCCGCUGGGCCCUGCCCGGCCGCCGGCCCCGGCUGGCGCGUGCCCGCCAGAGACCUCACAGACUCUGAAUGUUAGUGUCGUCCGAGUAACUAUACAAUCGUUAAAACUUUCAACAACGGAUCUCUUGGUUCUGGCAUCGAUGAAGAACGCAGCGAAAUGCGAUAAGUAAUGCGAAUUGCAGAAUUCAGUGAGUCAUCGAAUCUUUGAACGCACAUUGCGCCCUGUGGUAUUCCGCAGGGCAUGCCUGUUCGAGCGUCAUUUCAACCCUCAAGCCUCGCUUGGUGUUGGGCCCUGCCCGCCGCGGCCGGCCCUAAAGACAGUGGCGGCGCCGCCUGGCCCUCAGCGUAGUACAGCUCUCGCUCCAGGGUCCGGCGGCAGCCUGCCAGAACCCCCCAACUCUGUGGUUGACCUCGGAUCAGGUAGGGAUACCCGCUGAACUUAAGCAUAUCAAUAAGCGGAGGA